rnacentral:rRNA from 1 species
UACGUAGGGGGCAAGCGUUGUCCGGAUUUAUUGGGCGUAAAGAGCGUGUAGGCGGCCAGAUAGGUCCGUUGUGAAAACUGGAGGCUUAACCUCCAGCGGUCGAUGGAAACCAUUUGGCUAGAGUCCGGAAGAGGAGAGUGGAAUUCCUGGUGUAGCGGUGAAAUGCGCAGAUAUCAGGAAGAACACCCGUGGCGAAGGCGGCUUCCUGGCCGAAUACUGACGCUGAGGCACGAAAGCGUGGGGAGCAAACGGG